rfam:Triticum urartu cultivar G1812 contig971999, whole genome shotgun sequence.
CUACUACUCCCUCCGUUCGGAAUUACUUGUCGCAGAAAUGGAUGUAUCUAGACGUAUUUUAGUUCUAGAUACAUCCAUUUCCAAGACAAGUAAUUCCGAACGGAAGGAGUAUGGA